rnacentral:rRNA from 1 species
GAGUUUGAUCCUGGCUCAGAGCGAACGCUGGCGGCGUGCCUAACACAUGCAAGUCGAACGUGAAAUGGAGCAAUCCAGAGUAAAGUGGCGUACGGGUGAGUAACACGUAGGUAAUCUACCUGAGUGUCUGGAAUAACCUGCCGAAAGGCGGGCUAAUACUGGAUAGAGCGACGGGACUCGUAAGAGGGUCUUUCGGGAAAGGGAGGGAGCAAUCCCCUUCGCAUUCAGAUGAGCCUGCGUCUCAUUAGCUAGUUGGUGGGGUAAAGGCCCACCAAGGCUUUGAUGGGUAGCUGGUCUGAGAGGAUGAUCAGCCACACUGGAACUGAAACACGGUCCAGACUCCUACGGGAGGCAGCAGUGGGGAAUCUUGCGCAAUGGACGAAAGUCUGACGCAGCCACGCCGCGUGAGUGAAGAAGGCCUUCGGGUUGUAAAGCUCUGUCGGAGGGGACGAAAACUCUUAUAGUGAAUAGCUAUAGGAAUUGACGGUACCCUUAAAGGAAGCACCGGCUAACUUCGUGCCAGCAGCCGCGGUAAUACGAAGGGUGCAAGCGUUAUCCGGAAUUAUUGGGCGUAAAGAGCUCGUAGGCGGUUUGUCGCGUCUGCCGUGAAAGUCCGGGGCUCAACUCCGGAUCUGCGGUGGGUACGGGCAGACUAGAGUGAUGUAGGGGAGACUGGAAUUCCUGGUGUAGCGGUGAAAUGCGCAGAUAUCAGGAGGAACACCGAUGGCGAAGGCAGGUCUCUGGGCAUUAACUGACGCUGAGGAGCGAAAGCAUGGGGAGCGAACAGGAUUAGAUACCCUGGUAGUCCAUGCCGUAAACGUUGGGCACUAGGUGUGGGGGACAUUCCACGUUUUCCGCGCCGUAGCUAACGCAUUAAGUGCCCCGCCUGGGGAGUACGGCCGCAAGGCUAAAACUCAAAGGAAUUGACGGGGGCCCGCACAAGUGGCGGAGCAUGCGGAUUAAUUCGAUGCAACGCGAAGAACCUUACCAAGGCUUGACAUGGGCCGGACCGGGCUGGAAACAGUCCUUCCCCUUUGGGGCCGGUUCACAGGUGGUGCAUGGUUGUCGUCAGCUCGUGUCGUGAGAUGUUGGGUUAAGUCCCGCAACGAGCGCAACCCUCGUUCCAUGUUGCCAGCGCGUAAUGGCGGGGACUCAUGGGAGACUGCCGGGGUCAACUCGGAGGAAGGUGGGGACGACGUCAAAUCAUCAUGCCCCUUAUGUCUUGGGCUUCACGCAUGCUACAAUGGCCGGUACAAAGGGUUGCGAUACUGUGAGGUGGAGCUAAUCCCAAAAAGCCGGUCUCAGUUCGGAUUGGGGUCUGCAACUCGACCCCAUGAAGUCGGAGUCGCUAGUAAUCGCAGAUCAGCAACGCUGCGGUGAAUACGUUCCCGGGCCUUGCACACAC